CUAGUUGGUAGGGUAAUGGCCUACCAAGGCGACGAUCAGUAGCUGGAUCGAGAGGUUGACCAGCCACACUGGGACUGAGAUACGGCCCAGACUCCUACGGGAGGCAGCAGUAAGGAAUCUUCCACAAUGGACGAAAGUCUGAUGGAGCAACACCGCGUGCAGGAUGACGGCCUUCGGGUUGUAAACUGCUUUUAUAUGGGAAGAUUAUGACGGUACCAUAUGAAUAAGGACCGGCUAACUACGUGCCAGCAGCCGCGGUAAUACGUAGGGUCCAAGCGUUAUCCGGAAUCACUGGGCGUAAAGCGUGCGUAGGUGGCGUGUUAAGUGUGAUGUUAAAUCGUGGGGCUCAACCCUGUCGGUGCAUCACAUACUGGCAUGCUAGAGGACAGCAGAGGCAAGUGGAAUUUGUAGUGUAGCAGUGAAAUGCGUAGAUAUUACAAGGAACACCAAUGGCGAAGGCAGCUUGCUGGGCUACUCCUGACACUGAGGUACGAAAGCGUGGGGAGCGAACAGGAUUAGAUACCCUGGUAGUCCACGCCGUAAACGAUGCAUACUAGUCUUAUGGGGUAUCGACCCCCUGUGAGACGCAGCUAACGCGAUAAGUAUGCCGCCUGGGAAGUACGGCCGCAAGGCUAAAACUCAAAGGAAUUGACG
rnacentral:rRNA from 1 species